rnacentral:lncRNA from 1 species
UGUUGAUGAAAGAUAACAAGCCACGGGUUCGGUUCCCCCAGAACAAGUUUGUUUGACCCAACUACAGUGUUGAAGUGCUUGGGAAAUAAGUCAGGAUGUAAGCGUGUUUGGAUGCAGGCCAGAGGGACGGAGGCAGGAAGUGCACAGGGAUCCACACUUGCCCCUGAUUGGACCUGGUGUGUGAAAUAUGUAGCCUUAUGGGUUUGCCUUUAUGAGUCUCUGCAAAAUGUGACGUGUGGCCAUUUUCUAAGAACCCCGAAGUGGACCUGUCCCGGCUCUCUCAUCCUGGCCAGUAUUUAAUUAAAGCUUGCCUCUGCGUUGGCUCAAAAUCGUGGUAAUGAUCCUAUUCUCACCCGGUGGGAUUAACAGUAACUGUAAUUGUGGAACCAUGAAGUACUUUAAAAAUGCAACCUCUCUCCCAAAAGAAUAAUGAAAGCUUCAAAGCAAGGAUGUUUUCUGACCUUAGCGAGGUUUGAAUCUACGUGCCAAGAAGGAAGCCAAACUGGCCAACACCAUACAAAGCUUUAAUAAGGAAAAUAAUCCACGGUCGUGAAAGAACAUGGCAGACCCGGUGGAAUCUUCUAGGCUGUUCCACUCCGGGGCAGAAAACACUGGAGCAACCUCUUAAAGGCACGUUUAAGAUCUUUAAGGACCGGGAAGAGAUGUAGACUCAGUUCCAGGCAGUUCCCCCUGCCAGCCACACCCUCAGUGGUCAGCAGAUGGCAUUGUGAAAUGCCGCCCUGGCAGCUCUGCAGGAGGCAGGCUGUUUUUCUGUUUGUUCGUCUGUCCCGGCAAUACGUGAUUGUGUCGCUGCUAAAUAAACAGAGGUUGUUCAUCAGGUUUCAGUCUCAGGAAAACUAUUCUUUCUGCGUCCUGGACAGACCACUAGGCUCUGAAAACCUAGGUAGGUCUAUGGCUUUUCAGCUUUCUUCCCCCUGUGUCCUAAUCCAUAUGAGGGAGAAGAGGAUAAGUUUUUCUCCUAUUGAACUGCAGUUUCUUGGAAGACACCAAGGGCAGACUCCAGCUGAAUGUUCUUCCCCUGCAGGCGAGGGGACCAAGGGUUUAUGAUUAGGACAGAAACCGAUACCCACUGGGAGAGGAGUGUCCGAACUCUCCAGGGAAGAUAAGCAUUGAAGACAACUCUGAUAAGUGGAUGAUAUUUUAAAGUAUUAUAUUCAGCAUCAUAGUCCGUGGAGGGAAGGAGAGAAAGCUAGAGGUUCCUUCCUCAUGCUCAAGAUGUCUUCAGCUAGCCAGGGUGGGGUUUGGUCCCAUAUAAAUCUGGAAGUGUUUUUUGUGUUGUUGUUGUUUUGUUUUGUUUUGUUUUGUUUUUUGGGGGGGAAGGGGUUGUUUGUUUGGUUGGUUUUGCUAUUUCUAUGAAAGGCAAACGCAAACAUCUUGAUAAAGACUGCAGUGAAAAAGUAGGGUCCAGGGACAUUGUGGAGUCAUUUCUCUGCCUUCAUCCUUAGGUGGGUUCUGAGAAUCAAACGCAAGUCCUGGCUUUACCAGCUGAGAGCCUCGGCUGCCUGAGCUUUCUUUUUCUUUCUGUGUCUGCGGAACAUAUGCUAACCUUUGUCGCUGAAAGCGACGCAGGUGCGGCCUUGUCUUUUGUAACGUGCACAGCUAACUUAAUAAAAAUUAGAAAGGAAAAGAUAACCA